UUAAAAAAAGCUAUAAAUCUUAAAUUGUUACCAAGUAAAGAAAAGGUUUCGUAAAAGCUGUUUAGUUUAUUUCAUUCUUUGCUUUCUGUCCUUAGUUCACAGUUUCAUUUCAGAUUUUUGUUUUCAGUCGUCACUGUUUCGUGGGGGCGGGGUUUGGAGCCCAUUGGCCACUGGAACAUGAUUGACAUCGGGUGAUAAAAGUUUACGGAUUCUGCACAGGUGGAAGGAGGACUGGAGGCUCACACCUGUUCACCAUCUUCUCCUAAUUUUUGAGUUUGAACCAAAAAAAGGGGGUAGUGAAGAACCACACGAUACACGAAGGAAUAAAAGGUGUAAAGAUGAGCAGCUGCAGUGAAAACAAUCAUCAUCUUGUUCUCUACAUCCAUCCAGAAAUAUAUAUUCUCUGAAAACAAAAAAAAAAUCAUUUGGUCCUUACUAUUACUCGACUUCAACCUGUGAAGCUGAAGUUUUGACCUCAAAACGAAAGUUUUAAAGUGCUUCAAUAAAUUCAAUUUGAGCUUUUUUCUUGUAAAAGCUUUUGCGGCAUAGAAGUCUGAGAAAGACUUGUGGAGAAACCUUUCCGUCAAUCUGCAACAGACUUUUUAAUUGAAAGUGCAAAUUGCCGAAGUGACAUCUAGACCAAAAACAGCCCUCCAGCGGUGUAGCACAUU
rnacentral:lncRNA from 1 species